rnacentral:tRNA from 1 species
UCCGGGAUCGUCUAACGGCAGGACGAGGGACUCUGAAUCCCUUAAUCAUGGUUCGAAUCCAUGUCCCGGAA